rnacentral:lncRNA from 1 species
UCAUCCUCUGACCUCUCACCAACGAUCCCUCACUGCCCAGGUCCACCGUUAUCCUCUGACCCCUCACCAACGAGCCCUCAUUGCCCAUGUCCACCGUCAUCCUCUGACCCCCUCACCAACGAUCCCUCACUGCCCAGGUCCACCGUUAUCCUCUGACCCUCUCACCAACGAUCCCUCACUGCCCAGGUCCACCGUCAUCCUCUGACCCCUUACCAACGAUCCCUCACUGCCCAGGUCCACCGUCAUCCUCUGACCCUCUCACCAACGAGCCCUCACUGCCCAGGUCCACCGUCAUCCUCUGACCCCUCACCAACGAUCCCUCACUGCCCAGGUCCACCGUCAUCCUCUGACCCUCUCACCAACGAUCCCUCACUGCCCAGGUCCACCGUC